rnacentral:rRNA from 1 species
CUAUACAUGACUCUGCGCAUAUCAAUAAGCGGAGGAAAAGAAACUAACAAGGAUUCCCUCAGUAACGGCGAGUGAAGCGGGAAGAGCUCAAAUUUGAAAUCUUGAAAGGUCACCUUUCACGAAUUGUAGUUUAAAGAAGUGUUUUCUGUUACGAUCGUAAUAUAAGUUCUUUGGAAUAGGACAUCACAGAGGGUGAGAAUCCCGUCUAUGAUUGCGAUUUGUAGCUUUGUGAUACACUUUCAAAGAGUCGGGUUGUUUGGGAAUGCAGCCCAAAACGGGAGGUAAAUUUCUUCUAAGGCUAAAUAUUGGCGAGAGACCGAUAGCGAACAAGUACCGUGAGGGAAAGAUGAAAAGAACUUUGAAAAGAGAGUUAAAUAGUACGUGGAAUUGUUAAAAGGGAAGCGUUUAACACCAGUGUUGUUUUCCUGAAAAUCAACCUCUGUUAGCUUUAUGCAUGUUUGUUUAGACCUAAUCAGCUAUCUUGCAUGUUCUAUUGUUUGCAGUGGUGCACUUUUCAGUUUACAGGUCAACAUCAGUUUUUUUUACCGUAAAAAAGUUAAAGAAAGGUAGCUCAUGGCUCCGGUCGUGAGUGUUAUAGUCUUUUUCCUAUGCGGUAGGAGAGACUGAGGUCUGCAGUGUAGGCUAUUUGGCUAGAUACUCAGGUGCUAUGUGAUACCAUUUCAUAAACAACUUGUUGAUUAUGUUUUGUCUAUUGCAUACUCGCUUGUACUAUCAUACCUACGCUUAGGAUGUUGAGUCGUAGAGCACGCAG